rnacentral:rRNA from 1 species
UAGGGAAUCUUCCACAAUGGCGAAAGCCUGAUGGAGCAACGCCGCGUGUGUGAUGAAGGGUUUCGGCUCGUAAAACACUGUUGUAAGAGAAGAAUGACAUUGAGAGUAACUGUUCAAUGUGUGACGGUAUCUUACCAGAAAGGAACGGCUAAAUACGUGUCAG